CUGCAGCCCGGCUUGAGUGGAAAUCCUUUUUUUGCGGCUGGAAAAGCUUUGGAAAAAGAUUGGGAACGGAAGACGGAAAUAGC
rnacentral:sRNA from 1 species